rnacentral:rRNA from 2 species
AGUAACACGUGGGUAACCUGCCCUUGAAGUAGAGGAUAACACUUGGAAACAGGUGCUAAUACUGCAUAACAACGAAAACCGCCUGGUUUUCGUUUGAAAGAUGGCUUCGGCUAUCGCUUUAGGAUGGACCCGCGGCGUAUUAGCUAGUUGGUGAGGUAACGGCUCACCAAGGCAAUGAUACGUAGCCGACCUGAGAGGGUAAUCGGCCACAUUGGGACUGAGACACGGCCCAAACUCCUACGGGAGGCAGCAGUAGGGAAUCUUCCACAAUGGACGAAAGUCUGAUGGAGCAACGCCGCGUGAGUGAUGAAGGGUUUCGGCUCGUAAAACUCUGUUGUUGGAGAAGAACGGGUGUCAGAGUAACUGUUGACAUCGUGACGGUAUCCAACCAGAAAGCCACGGCUAACUACGUGCCAGCAGCCGCGGUAAUACGUAGGUGGCAAGCGUUGUCCGGAUUUAUUGGGCGUAAAGCGAGCGCAGGCGGUUUUUUAGGUCUGAUGUGAAAGCCUUCGGCUUAACCGGAGAAGUGCAUCGGAAACCGGGAGACUUGAGUGCAGAAGAGGACAGUGGAACUCCAUGUGUAGCGGUGAAAUGCGUAGAUAUAUGGAAGAACACCAGUGGCGAAGGCGGCUGUCUGGUCUGCAACUGACGCUGAGGCUCGAAAGCAUGGGUAGCGAACAGGAUUAGAUACCCUGGUAGUCCAUGCCGUAAACGAUGAGUGCUAAGUGUUGGAGGGUUUCCGCCCUUCAGUGCUGCAGCUAACGCAUUAAGCACUCCGCCUGGGGAGUACGACCGCAAGGUUGAAACUCAAAGGAAUUGACGGGGGCCCGCACAAGCGGUGGAGCAUGUGGUUUAAUUCGAUGCUACGCGAAGAACCUUACCAGGUCUUGACAUCUUCUGCCAACCUAAGAGAUUAGGCGUUCCCUUCGGGGACAGAAUGACAGGUGGUGCAUGGUUGUCGUCAGCUCGUGUCGUGAGAUGUUGGGUUAAGUCCCGCAACGAGCGCAACCCUUAUUGUUAGUUGCCAGCAUUUAGUUGGGCACUCUAGCAAGACUGCCGGUGACAAACCGGAGGAAGGUGGGGAUGACGUCAAAUCAUCAUGCCCCUUAUGACCUGGGCUACACACGUGCUACAAUGGACGGUACAACGAGUCGCGAAACCGCGAGGUCAAGCUAAUCUCUUAAAGCCGUUCUCAGUUCGGAUUGUAGGCUGCAACUCGCCUACAUGAAGUCG